rnacentral:rRNA from 1 species
GACGAACGCUGGCGGCGUGCUUAACACAUGCAAGUCGAACGGUAAGGCCCUUCGGGGUACACGAGUGGCGAACGGGUGAGUAACACGUGGGUGAUCUGCCCUGCACUUCGGGAUAAGCCUGGGAAACUGGGUCUAAUACCGGAUAGGACCCUGGGAUGCAUGUCCUGGGGUGGAAAGCUUUUGCGGUGUGGGAUGGGCCCGCGGCCUAUCAGCUUGUUGGUGGGGUGAUGGCCUACCAAGGGGACGACGGGUAGCCGGCCUGAGAGGGGGACCGGCCACACUGGGACGGGGGUACGGCCCAGACGCCUACGGGAGGCAGCAGUGGGGAAUAUUGCACAAUGGGCGCAAGCCUGAUGCAGGGACGCCGCGUGAGGGAUGACGGCCUUCGGGUUGUAAACCUCUUUCAGCACCGACGAAGCGCAAGUGACGGUAGGUGCAGAAGAAGGACCGGCCAACUACGUGCCAGCCGCCGCGGUAA